ACCGAAUAGAUACCCAGGUAGUCCACGCCCUAAACUAUGCGAACUGGAUGUUGGGUACAUUACGGUACUCAAGUGUCGAAAGCUAAACGCGUUAAAGUUCGCCGCCUGGGGAGUACGGUCGCAAGACUGAAACUCAAAGGAAUUGACGGGAGGCCCCGCACAAGCGGUGGAGUAUGUGGUUUAAAUUCGAUGCAACGCGAAGAACCUUACCGUGGCCUUUGACAUCUGUCGAAAUCCUGCAGAGAUGCGGGAGUGCCGCAAGGAACGACAAGACAGGUGCUGCAUGGCUGUCGUCAGCUCGUGUCGUGAGAUGUUGGG
rnacentral:rRNA from 1 species